GACAGCAGUCGCCGCGGGAAUACAGAGGGUGCGAGCGUUAAUCGGAUUUACUGGGCGUAAAGCGUGCGUAGGCGGCUUCUUAAGUCGGAUGUGAAAUCCCUGAGCUUAACUUAGGAAUUGCAUUCGAUACUGGGAAGCUAGAGUAUGGGAGAGGAUGGUAGAAUUCCAGGUGUAGCGGUGAAAUGCGUAGAGAUCUGGAGGAAUACCGAUGGCGAAGGCAGCCAUCUGGCCUAAUACUGACGCUGAGGUACGAAAGCAUGGGGAGCAAACAGGAUUAGAGACCCCGGUAGUCCCUGUCUCUUAUAC
rnacentral:rRNA from 1 species